UGUUAGGAAGAGAGAAAUCCCUCCUGUUCUCAGUGCCACCAGGCUGCUGCUUUUAACAACAAACACAUGUUGAUGUUUAAGAUAAACACUGGAGUAUAAUCAGACGGUGGGGAAGGGAAAACAACCUUUAUACUCCUACUGUUUUUAUAUACCUUUUAUUAUGCUUAAAAGUAUUAUUUCUGGCACAGACUUGAAAUAACCUUUCUAGAAGACAGCAGCCACUAGUCUAUGACCCAGGACUAUUGAGCACAAACACCAACAUUCAGCUAAUUCUGCUCAGAAACAAAGUGCCUUAUCUUUUCAGAAGCAGAAAGCUCCUAACUACCAGAAUGCAGCCCUUCAAGCUUCAUUGUUCUAGCAAUUGAUGCUGCAGUAUGGGCAGAAGCAAUAAAUUUGUCUUCAAAGUGACUCAGAAUUUUAAGAGGAAGACAUGAAUCUUACUUACAUCCUUAUCAGAGCACGGCCAGACAAUCAACUGAAACUCUACAGGUGGACUGCAUUUGACACAUCCAGACAUAACAGCUCUAUUUGCCCACACAGUCCAACCCAGAAGCAUGGUCUUGCUUCCCACACUGAAAGAUGAGUCACCUUAAAAU